CGAUGACGUAACCGGCGCAAGUGCAGUCUGUCGGCGACGCUGAAACGCUGCUGGAUCUGUGGGUGGAGCAUUUUUAAGGUCAUCUGCACCUUCUGACUGGGAAAAGAUGGUCAACGUCUUGAAAGGAGUGCUUAUAGAAUGUGACCCUGCCAUGAAGCAAUUUCUGCUGUACUUGGAUGAGUCAAAUGCCCUAGGGAAGAAGUUCAUCAUUCAAGACAUUGAUGACACUCACAUCUUCGUAAUAGCAGAGUUGGUUAAUGUCCUCCAGGAGCGAGUAGGUGAAUUAAUGGACCAAAAUGCCUUUUCUCUUACCCAGAAGUGAAAAUAUUAGAUAAUGAUCACUUAGGAAUUAAAAGUAACAAAUGUGAGAGACUCACCAUUCGAUGUCUUGUGUGACCGAUUAGAUUUACAGAAUUGCUCGGAAGCAUGCGACAGGGAAGACUGUGAAAUCAUUUGUUCAUAAGAAAGCCCCUGAACUGACUUUCUUGUUCUGUUUUUUUCAUUGUGUGUACCCUAGAAUUUAAAAAAAAAAAAGCUUUAACAGUUGGCUGUAAUUUGGCUUUUAUUAACCUUUAUUAAAAUAUAAAUGUAAUUGGUUUUCCUACCUCUUAAUGCCAAUUUAAUACAUUAAGAAUAUAAUGGAAUAUGCUUUUAAAUCAUCAGUCUAACCUAAAUACCACCUAGAUAUUUAUCUUUGCUUAUUUGUAUUAGUAAUUGGGGGUUUGGUAGUGUAGGUAUGGUUUGUUUUGUUUCCACUAGAAACUUCACAGACAGACUGUUUAGAUAAAUAUGCCAAGGUGGGAACUUUAGUAAUAUUUAUACCUUACAAAUAGUAUCUGCAUGCCAGCCAGCUCUGUUGGUAAAGAAGAUGUGGGAGAGAAUCCUGUAACAUUAAUGUAAACUGCAGUUUACAUUUCCCUAAAAAUACAGUGUUUUAAAAGCACAGAGGGUUAGAAACAACCAAAUGGGAAAGGUAUGUGCUGCUUUGCAGCUUUCCUCUUUCCUUGUUCAGACUUUGUUGGUCACAUUUUCCCAUCAAGGCAAGUGCCCUUUCAUUAAGAAGUCAGUUUUCCUUGGACCUUAUUCCCUAUGAGAAUCCCUGUGUAAAUUUGUCUAAAAAAGAAAGGUAGGAACAGAUAGAAGCAAAGUCAGUCUUGGGGGAGUCUAGUUCUAUGGUUGAUCGAGGCAGAAACAAUAACACUGAUGGGGGCUUUGCUUCCCUUCCUGAAGAUAGUGGUACUAGGAUGGGUUCUGAUGGUGGGAAUUUUCCAAGAGAAAAGAUAACUUUCAUGAUGUUAGGUGGAGUCGUAUCCAACCCACUUUACCUGCCUCCUUAUGGUGUGUUUAUUCAGAGCAUCUGUGUACCAUAGCCACUUACUUACACAUGCGUUCCCUAAAGCUGGGAAUUUCCAUAGGUAUAUUUGUCAUGGUUUCCACCCAUGUAACUCAAACUACCCAAUUUUGAUUUUCACAUAACAAUGCAAACAAUUUUGAUGAGUUAUUGGUACAUCUGGUACUAAAACUUGCUGAAUACAGUACAUUUCUUUAGGAUUUCCAGCUGUACUGAAAUGUUACUGACUCUUGUAUUUCAGGCAUGUCUAAAUCUAUUUCUAACAUGCCUUAGGCGUUUGUCACCUAAUACCUUUUAACAUGAAACUUAGAGAAAAUUUUUCUUACAAUCUCAGAGUUUAAAAGGUACUGGAAAGACUAUUGGACAGUGAGUACAAAGAGUGUUAAGUGAAGGAAAAUCUUUAUUUCAUUGGCCCUCAUUGUUUAAAAGUUGAGUUAGGGCAAAUGUUCGGUAUCUUUCUCUGGAAGUACAUUAGAAGGAUGGGACAGUGUGGUGCUGGGAGCCGCACUUGGAGCCACUGAGUUAGCUCGUCCAACUAUGAGAGAAGCUAGGAGAGAACAGGAAAUAGCCAAGUGACAUUUUCUCCAGGCUCUGCUGCUUGGAAUCUGGUUGACAUUAUUCGAUUUAGCAUACUUUAGAUGUCUAGAACAAGAUAUGUUGGCUGCUGGGUACUGGAGAAAUUUACUACUGUCUUUUUAUUUUUAACAAAGUCCUUAAUACUGUGAAAAGGUAGUAUUAACUUAAAUUUUCCUAACUGCAUAAAAGAGUCAUUUUAAUUUAUGAGAGAUAGUUGACCAGUCACAAAUAUCCAUGUACUAAAAUUGUGAUAUUUAGAAUUAUACUAACUUCUUGAGAAAGGUUUUUUUUUUAAUACCGUAUAAGGUCAAAACUUCCGUAUUCUUUGAACCCCAAUUUCCUUGUGAAAUUUAGUGUGAUUAUUUUAAAAUUCCAGGCAUCCUAAGUAUGCAUAAGAGUUAAUGUAAAAAUGUUUAUUGAGACAUCAGUUUUGAUGAACACUAACUAAACACUAUUGUUAAUAAGCAACAAAGGCUACUCUCUUUUAUUUCUGAUAAUCACUAUAGGUGGUAGUCAAAAUUAUUAAUGAUUAUAUUGCUCUUAACAUUAUGUAUAAUAGAGGUGAUUUGACAUAAUUGUACUUCUUUUCUGGAAAUAUGGUAAAUAAUGUGCUUACUCUAUUUUGUAGUUACACAUUAAACCUCACUUAGCUCUAAAGAAACUAAAUAAAACCUUUGAUAUAAUGCCUUCUGA